CCUACGGGAGGCAGCAGUGGGGAAUAUUGGACAAUGGGGGCAACCCUGAUCCAGCCAUGCCGCGUGUGUGAAGAAGGCCCUCGGGUUGUAAAGCGCUUUCAGUGAGGAAGAACGCCUGGUGGUUAAUACCCAUCAGGAAAGACAUCACUCACAGAAGAAGCACCGGCUAACUCCGUGCCAGCAGCCGCGGUAAUACGGAGGGUGCGAGCGUUAAUCGGAAUUACUGGGCGUAAAGCGCGCGUAGGUGGCUUGAUAAGCCGGUUGUGAAAGCCCCGGGCUCAACCUGGGAACGGCAUCCGGAACUGUCAAGCUAGAGUGCAGGAGAGGAAGGUAGAAUUCCCGGUGUAGCGGUGAAAUGCGUAGAGAUCGGGAGGAAUACCAGUGGCGAAGGCGGCCUUCUGGACUGACACUGACACUGAGGUGCGAAAGCGUGGGUAGCAAACAGGAUUAGAUACCCUAGUAGUC
rnacentral:rRNA from 1 species